rnacentral:tRNA from 1 species
GCUCCAUUCGUCUAGUCCGGCCAAGGAUACCGGCUUUUCGAGCCAGCGACCCGGGUUCGAAUCCCGGAUGGAGCA